GUGAGGAAUAUUGGUCAAUGGCCGAGAGGCUGAACCAGCCAUGCCGCGUGCGGGAGGACGGCCCUAUGGGUUGUAAACCGCUUUUUUGUGGGAGCAAUAAGUUGCACGUGUGCAAUGAUGAGAGUACCAUGAGAAUAAGCAUCGGCUAACUCCGUGCCAGCAGCCGCGGUAAUACGGAGGAUGCGAGCGUUAUCCGGAUUUAUUGGGUUUAAAGGGUGCGUAGGCGGAUUUUUAAGCGUGAGGUGAAAUGCCCGGGCUCAACCUGGGAACUGCCUCGCGAACUGGGAGUCUUGAAUGCCCCUGCCGUGGGAGGAAUGUGUGGUGUAGCGGUGAAAUGCAUAGAGAUCACACAGAACACCGAUUGCGAAGGCAUCUCACGAAGGGGUGAUUGACGCUGAGGCACGAAAGCGUGGGGAUCAAACAGG
rnacentral:rRNA from 1 species